AUCUAUGGCCAUGCCACCCUGAAUGUGCCUGAUCUCAUCUGAUCUCAGAAGCUAAGCAGAGCCGGGCCUGGUUAGUACUUGGAUGGGAGACCACCUAGGAAUACCAGGUGCUGUAGGUG
rnacentral:rRNA from 1 species